GACGAACGCUGGCGGCGUGCCUAACACAUGCAAGUCGAGCGGGGACUUGGGAGCUUGCUCCUGGGUUCUAGCGGCGGACGGGUGAGUAACGCGUGAGCAACCUGCCUCUUACUGGGGGAUAACGCAUCGAAAGAUGUGCUAAUACCGCGUAAGACCACGGAGUCGCAUGGCUCAGGGGUCAAAGGAGCAAUCCGGUAAGAGAUGGGCUCGCGUCCGAUUAGCUAGUUGGUGAGAUAACGGCCCACCAAGGCGACGAUCGGUAGCCGACCUGAGAGGGUGAUCGGCCACAUUGGAACUGAGACACGGUCCAA
rnacentral:rRNA from 1 species